rnacentral:rRNA from 1 species
AUUGAACGCUGGCGGCAGGCCUAACACAUGCAAGUCGAACGAGUGUCGGACGGGUGAGUAAUGUAUGGGACACUGGCUGAUGGAGGGGGAUAACUAAUGGAAACUGUAGCUAAUACCGCAUAACAUCGGAUAUGCACAGAUGGGAUUAGCGAGUGGGUGGGGUAAAGGCGCACCUAGGCGACGAUCACUCGCUGGUCUGAGAGGAUAACGAGCCCAACUGGGAAUGAGACCCGGGCCAGACUCCGACGGGAGGCCGGAGUGGGGAAUAUUGCACAAUGGGGGCAAGCCGGAUGCAGCCAGGCCGCGUGUAUGAAGAAGGCCUUCGGGUUGUAAAGUACUUUCAGCGGAGAGGCGUUAACCACAGAAGAAGCACCGGCUAACUCCGUGCCAGCAGCCGCGGUAAUUC